rnacentral:tRNA from 1 species
GUACGGGUGGCACAGUGGCUAGUGCAAUUGCCUCACGAAAAGGGAGUUCCGGGUUCGAGUCCUGGCCAGCCUC